rnacentral:sRNA from 1 species
UAUAUGAGCAACUGCCGAAGACAGUAGGUGCUGUAAAGCGUAAGUUUGUGAACGCCUACCGAGGAGAGUCAGAUUUAUUACGAGAGUAUGAAUUUACAAACCUCUGUGUCUUUGGGUGCAGAGGUUUUUUAUUUUA